rnacentral:rRNA from 1 species
GACAGAGGGUGCAAACGUUGUUCGGAAUUACUGGGCGUAAAGCGCGUGUAGGCGGCUAAGUAAGUCGGGCGUGAAAUCCCACGGCUCAACCGUGGAAGUGCACUCGAAACUGCAUAGCUAGAGUCCUGGAGAGGAAGGUGGAAUGCUUGGUGUAGAGGUGAAAUUCGUAGAUAUCAAGCGGAACACCGGUGGCGAAGGCGGCCUUCUGGACAGUGACUGACGCUGAGACGCGAAAGCCAGGGGAGCAAACGGG